rnacentral:rRNA from 1 species
AAUGAACGCUGGCGGCGUGGUUAAGACAUGCAAGUCGAACGGGACAUUAAGUGUAGCAAUACAUUUGAUGUUCAGUGGCGAACGGGUGCGUAACACGUGAACAAUCUACCUUUAAGUGUGGAAUAGCUCGCCGAAAGGCGAAUUAAUACCGCAUGUGGUGGCCUCUCGCAUGAGAGACCUACUAAAGUCGGGGACCGGCAAGGCCUGACGCUUGAAGAGGAGUUCGCGGCCGUAUCAGCUAGUUGGCGAGGUAACGGCUCACCAAGGCUAAGACGGGUAGCUGGUCUGAGAGGAUGAUCAG